GUUGCUUCCUUCUGAAAAUAAUCAUUUUAUUUUUGAUCGCUCUUGAGUCUGGCCAUAAAUUAUACCGCCAAACGGAACAUGUGUGCGUGUCUCGUUCCCCAGAAGCACUCGCCAAAUUUAAAGUUCAAAUCACACAGAAAGCCGGCAAAACGAAGCGAAAAUCCCAAGAGUUAUGUUGAGUGACAGACAUGGCGUAUGCGCAAUGUGCGCAUUGUCCAUUCUAACGGCGUCAUUUGUUUGGCUUAAUUGCCGAUAAAUAAUUGCAAAGCGGAGUUACACUCCACCCCGCACCACAUCCCCCCCCUCGGCGUCGUGAAACUCAAUCCAAGAGCCGGAAGAAAAGGAAGCAAAUUCGCAUUCGCAAAUCAUUUUUCAGGCCCAGUCGACAGCUGCGAAAAUAAGCGCAAAUAAACGAAAAUAAGAGAAAA